AGAGCAAAUAAAAAAACCGGUUCUUUAGGCGCUCAUGUUGAAUUACCAACUUGCUUAGAGAUCAAAAGGGAAGACGGUGUAAUUCCGUCGCGGUCCCGCCGCUGUAAUCGGGGACAAAAGCCGCUAAAAAGCCACUGGCGAAAAAAAUCGUUGGGAAGGCGCGGCGAGUAGGUUGAUCCGUAAGUCAGAAGACCUACCGGUUUUGAAGAUUUCCG
rnacentral:ncRNA from 1 species